UAGGAAAAGCUCAGGAAUGUUCCCACUGA
rnacentral:piRNA from 1 species